rnacentral:lncRNA from 1 species
GGGGGGGGAGCGGUUGCCAUGGCGCUUGGAGCGCGGCCGCAUACUAAUGGGCGGCUACGGACGCUGCCCCCACAGCUGCCCCCGCCGGCCGCGCUCUCCUCCAACUCCUACCUCCAGCGUCCUCCAAGUCGCCCCACCGCGGCCCACGCACCCCACCCGGGGCCUGAGUCCCUUGCCUGGACCUCCCGUCUGCGCCAGGCAGGCCCAGGGGCAAAAGGCGGCUCGGGGGUCCGCUGCGGGCAACCUGGCCUGGGCGCAGGCACCAAGCAGGCAUGGCUUCUGGAAGCACAGCUGACAGAAGAGGUACCAGGAACCCCCAGUCUGAUGGAGAUCAGGCAGCUCUGGACACCACAAACAGACAUAGACACACAGGAACAUUUGGCCAUUCCUGGGUGGUUCUUGAAGGCUUCCUAAAAGAGGUUCUGCUGGAGAGUGUCCGAGCCUUUGUGACAAACUGAUGGCCUAAUGGGCAGACAGACAGAGCUUUUCAGACAAAAAAGUCAUUGUCGGACUGAGGAUUUAGCUCAGUGGUUUCGCCGCCUGCUGUGCAAGGGCAAGGACCCGAGUUCGAUCCCCAGUACCAAGAAAAAAAGUCAUUGUCAUAUCCUAUAGGUCUAUGAGGGAGAAAAACCUAAAUGAGCCAAGAGAAAGAUAGGGCUCAUUGGCCCACUGGCCCAUGUACACAGCAGACAUGACUGAGACAAGGAGUCUUCCAGUCCUGGGUCUGCUGUGUGAUGCUGAAUCAGGUGUUGCCCCUCUCUGAACUUCUUUGGCCACUGCAAAAACAAGGAGUCGAAGCAGGUGAUUUUUGAGGCAAUAAGAUUCUCAGAUGCUGUAGCAGUUGUUUAAACAAGGAAAGGGGCUUGGUUAGACCCUCCUCUUCGGGAGCCUGGUUAGAGCCAUAAAAGCCCCGUCCCCAGAAGCUCCCCAGAGCCUCCCUCAACAGCUUUCUCCCCCUCCCAAGCCUGCUAGUCUGGGUUGAAGCACCAGAGGCCAACAGCCCCUCCUGCCCCCCAACACAUAUAAACACACACACUCCUCUAAGAUGCAG